rnacentral:rRNA from 1 species
CGGACGGGUGAGGAAUACGUAGGGAUCUGCCUUUAAGUGGGGGAUAACCCGGGGAAACCCGGAUUAAUACCGCAUGAUCUCGCAAGAGCAAAGCGGGGGAUCGCAAGACCUCACGCUUUUAGAGGAACCUACGUCGGAUUAGCUUGUUGGUGAGGUAAUGGCUCACCAAGGCGACGAUCCGUAACUGGUCUGAGAGGAUGAUCAGUCACACCGGAACUGAGACACGGUCCGGACUCCUACGGGAGGCAGCAGUGGGGAAUAUUGGACAAUGGGCGAAAGCCUGAUCCAGCAAUACCGCGUGUGUGAAGAAGGCCUUCGGGUUGUAAAGCACUUUAAGUUGGGAAGAAAAAACUUCAAUUAAUACUUGAAGUCUUGACGGUACCGACAGAAUAAGCACCGGCUAACUCUGUGCCAGCAGCCGCGGUAAUACAGAGGGUGCUAGCGUUAAUCGGAUUUACUGGGCGUAAAGCGUGCGUAGGCGGUUUGAUAAGUCGGUUGUGAAAGCCCCUGGCUCAACCUGGGAAUUGCGGCCGAUACUGUCAGACUAGAAAACGGUAGAGGGAGGCGGAACCCCAGGUGUAGCGGUGAAAUGCGUAGAUAUCUGGAAGAACACCGAUGGCGAUGGCAACCUCCUGGGCCUGUUUUGACGCUGAGGCACGAAAGCGUGGGUAGCAAACAGGAUUAGAUACCCUGGUAGUCCACGCCGUAAACGAUGAGAACUUGACGUUGGUUUGCUUAGCAAAUCGGUGUCGUAGCUAACGCGAUAAGUUCUCCGCCUGGGGAGUACGGCCGCAAGGUUGAAACUCAAAGGAAUUGACGGGGGCCCGCACAAGCGGUGGAGUAUGUGGUUUAAUUCGAUGCGACGCGAAGAACCUUACCUGGUCUUGACAUGUCAAGAAGUCUGCAGAGAUGCGGAUGUGCCUUCGGGAACUUGAACACAGGUGCUGCAUGGCUGUCGUC